AAUCAUAAUUAUUUAUUUUGAUUUUUUAUUUAUUGUCAACGCUAUCAAUACUUAAUCACCACUGCUAUUACCAUCAUUACUCUUACCUUAUCACCACCACUACCGCUAUCAUCGCUAUCACCAUCACUUGAUCACUGUUAUUAUCAUUUAACUACAGCUACCUCUAUCCUCACUUGGCUACUAUCACUACCACAUUUUGCCACUAUCACUAUCUAAUCA
rnacentral:misc_RNA from 1 species